rnacentral:rRNA from 1 species
GCAUAUCAAUAAGCGGAGGAGAAGAAACUAACAAGGAUUCCCCUAGUAACGGCGAGUGAAGAGGGAAAAGCUCAAAUUUUAAAUCUACCUGGUUCCCAGGUCGAAUUGUAUUUUGAAGAAUCGAUAUCGGUGUUGAGGUCUGGUUCAAGUUCUUUGGAACAAGACAUCAUGGAGGGUGAGAAUCCCGUGCAUGAUCAGACCAAGAUACUUAAUAUUCGUUUUCUAAGAGUCGAGUUGUUUGGGGAUGCAGCUCAAAUUGGGUGGUAGACUUCACCUAAGGCUAAAUAUCAGCGAGAGACCGAUAGCGAACAAGUACUGUGAAGGAAAGAUGAAAAGCACUUUGAAAGGAGAGUUAAAUAGUACGUGAAAUUGUUGAAAGGGAAACGAUUGAAGUCAGUCAUGCUAGUGAAAAUUCAGUUUGACGGGUUUUGGGUUUAGGAGUAAGAGAUAGGGUCAAACCGUCUCUCUUUUAAACUUGGGAUUUGUCGGAUGCACUUUUUCUUUGGCAGGUCAGCGUCGAUUUCGGGGGUUGUAAAAUACUUGGGGGAAAGUAGCUCUGCUUCGGGAGAGUGUUAUAGACCUUGGGAGAUGCAGCCCGUGGGAUCGAGGAUUGCGGCAAAUGCCUUUGGCUUGUCUUCUGAUCUUUGAUUGUUACCUCGUUUACGACAACAUUCUUGCCAUCGAUGAGUACUAGUGGUUAUGGGUUAGAAUGAUCAAAAAUUUGCUAAGGAUGCUGACGUAAUGGCUUUAAACGAC